ensembl:lncRNA
GCCAUGUUACUUUAAUUCCUCACAAUCAAUUAUUUAUGUGCAUUAAUAAACAAGAGUUUGAAAAUCAAAAAUAUGGUCAGUUACGUGCAGCAUAGAUCCUGAAGUAGAUCUUCAGGGCAAAAUGUGGUGAGAACUGAAUCUACUCUGUAGGAGGAGCAGCAAAAAACAGCUUUCAUCACACUUCAAGAUGGCAGACAGCAGACAUUUCUGUGCAUUAUAAUGAUUAGAUGAAGUGUUUAAGGUGGCACACAGCUCUCAGAUGUGUGUGUGUGUGUGUGUGUGUGGUUAAGGAGGCGGCUGGGAUUCGGAGGCUGGGAGCAGCUGUACUCGUGACUGAAAUGAAAACAGAAAUGAACGAGGCUGUCAGGCCUCUGAUGUAUGACUUGUAAUGGGAUGUUUCCAAACCUCCUUUCUCCAUAUGGCUGCCGACACAAUCAGAAACACCCACCGCCUACAGAGCCAGGGACUCUCAGAGCAAUACAUCUGGUACACAGACACUCACACUUACACACAUGCCAAACAAACACACUGAUUCACUGUCUCCUAUUGUGGUGACCUGCUUAAAAUAUUCACCUUUAGUCAAAAGUCAGAUGUUCAUAGAGAAGCAUUACAACGCAAACAUUAUCUGAAUUGAAGUUCAGGUGACUCCUUGAGUCUUCACGCCUCACCCUCGCACUAAACUCAUCAUCCUCACAUCUGCACCAAACAUGUGAGUCCUGCGGCCGUGUUCAGACAUUUCAUUCUUCCCACACUCACUAUUCACGGCUUAACUCAAUCAAGUUCUCCUACAUCUGUUUGUCUGUCAGCUCUCCAACCUUUUGUGAAAUCUCAGCCUGUCUGUUAUUUUUUGCUACGUCCUGUGCGGCGACUCGGAAGUGCUACUCUAAGUAAAUGUCAGUUUGAAUUUAUCAGAAGCCGAACUGUUAUAAACACUUCCUGACUUUCAGAGACCUCAAUGCUCUCCUGAGUUGCUCUCACAGGAAACCACAGGAGGAGACAACGCUGUGUCUCAUGAGCUUGUCUAGGCCGGCCUGUUUGCUCUCAUUGUUUUGGCUGUGGAACAGACUUUUAAGCACUAACAGUGACCUCCAUCCACACCUGAAAGACCCACAACAGGAAGUAUCAUCCAUUCGCUCUCUGACCUCUUCUAAAGAGGUGGACACACUCGGCUGUCCAUGACCACAUCCUCUCAGGCGAACAGCCCUCACAUUGAGACCCAAGAGCCC